rnacentral:lncRNA from 1 species
GAGUGUGUGUGUGCGUGCGUGAGAUGGAGCAGGAGACAAGCUCCAUGGGAGCUAACCCUAGAAUCAACAAAUUCACCAAAUUGAAGCUCGAAUCAAGAUCCAAAUCAAUGCAUGAACGCGUAGAAACGAUCACCAAGUCAAGGGGAUCGUGAGUUUGACUCUUGACGAGCUAGGUGAAGCUUGGAGGAGAUGAUCAAACGGGAUAAAGGCAAGAGUAAGACUUGCUUGGAUGAAAGGAAAUAACAUGUGCGCGCAAUGCUUUAACUAGAAAAAUUUAAGCAAAAAGUAUGUAUACGGGUCAAUCCUAUGACCCGAGCCAGGACAAUUGCGUUUAAAGAUGACAAAGGUUAAACAAAUUAAGGAUGUGAUAGAGGAACAGUCCGAGGCAUGACGAGAGGGACAUGCUCACUAAGGACUAAAUCGCGUAAAGACCGCGAACAAGGUUAAUGGCAAGAAACGCCCGUCGGGGCAAGCAUUAUCAGGUGCGUGCGUUUAAAUAUAAUCGCGCAAUUAGCAAUGUGCAACAAACAUGUAAGGAAUGAUUGUCGCAUAUGUAAAUUAGAAACUUGGGAAACCUGAAUAGAAUACCUAUCCAGGAUAUUAUCUCCAAGAAAACUAAAUAGAGGUGUUACUUACAUGGGGUGUGAUGUGAAAACUAUAAAAAGGUCGUGUAUGUCAUGUGUUAAUCGCUUACUCUGGCCAAGUAAAUAGUGGCAUAUGAUACCAUGAGUUUCUUAUAGCGGACACAUUUACAUCUGAUGUAGUAAGGACGGGGUAAAUGGGACAAAUUAAAAAGUACCCAAAAGAAUCAAGUGAGCAAAAUAUUUGAUAAUAAUGUAAACGCACAGCCGAGUGACGAAAGCGUAUUACAUUAAGAUAAUGAGCCUGAGUGAAGGGACAAAGAAACACGUAAGAUGAUCAGAAUACGUAUCGGGAGGGAGUGUACUUACACUCGAACCCGGAAAAUGCAAACAUGUAAAAUGAUGUAGACAUAUAUUGGGAGGGGGUGUACUUACACUCGAACCCGGAAAAUGCAAACAUGUAAAAUGAUGUAGACAUAUAUUGGGAGGGGGUGUACUUACACUCGAACCCGGAAAAUGCAAACAUGUAAAAUGAUGUAGACAUAUAUUGGGAGGGGGUGUACUUACACUCGAACCCGGAAAAUGCAAACAUGUAAAGUGAUGUAGACAUGUAUUGGGAGAGGGUGUACUUACACUCGAACCCGAAGAAUAUAAACAUGUAAAAUGAUCAAGAUAUGCAUUGGGAGGUAGUGUACUUACACUCGAACCCGAAGGAUGCAAAUAAGACUCUUAACGGGCCAAUUUUGUAAAACACCAAAUUUGAGAACGAAGUAGGAAUAUAAAAGCGAAACGAAGUCAUAAUGCAUACCGUAAGGGUUGCAAUAAUAACGACUUCGGUAAAACACCCAGGUGGUGGGUAAGGAUUUAAACACAUGCGUAGACUGAGAAACGAGAACGCGAAAUAGAAAGUCAAAAGACUCAGAAUAUGAGUCAUGACUAAAAGAUGACAAGAAUUUUCGCAAACAUAAAUUUUGGUAAUUACGUUCAACCAUUUCAAAGUUGGACGGGUCAAAUAAAGAAUGAAGUUUGACAUUCAUAGGUGAUGAAAAUUCACCCAAAAUGAGUCAAACGAGUCAAUUAAGGAAAAUGGAGGGGCCAAAAUGACCCACGGGUCAUGAACUGAAGCAAAGGGAUCAUAAGGGCCUCGUCUUAAAGAGAUGAAAGCUUAAGAAAAUAGCCUACGAGGUUAGGUGACAGAACCUACGGGGCAAUAGUGUAAGGUAAGGGAACUUGUUACGAUUCCUCGCGUAAAACGAGAACGGAAAACAAUAGAUUAGGGGUUGUCAAUUCCCUUGAUAUGAGUAAUUGACAUAGUUAAAGAGAAAAACGUUAGACUAAAAUUCAGUUUUAGUAAGAAAUAACAUUUUUAUAAAUAUAAAUUCUGAUAGGAAAUCGAAUAGUAAGCAUAAAGGAUUCAAGUCUUGACGCUGAUAGGCGCAAGACGAGAUAUUCGAAAAGUGAUCUUUUUGAAAAUGAAAGGUUGAUAUAAAUUAAACAUGCGUGACACGAUCACGGUCAAGAAAUGCAAUGUGAAGUGGAAUCACAUUAUAACCAAGCGAGCGGUAAAAAGUAACUGGACUAAUAAGUCUAGUUAGUGAGACCGGUUAAGGUCAUUUAAGUAAUUUGGUUGCUUGUAAGUGGUAGAUUCGGUAUAACUGAACCGAAUAAAUGAAUUUUGAAAACAGAAGAAAUUGUUGCUAAAAGUGAAAGAUUUCACUAAAGACCUUUAGACGGGUCAAGGUAACGGAUUCACCAAGAGUUCGAUAAUAUAUAAAAGCGAUGGAAAUCGCUAAGUUAACUAAACUAGUGAAAAUAACGGAAUUACGUUAUUUCAAGUUACAUUAUGUCGUAUGAGGUACGUAGAGGUUCUAUAACCAAAAAGACAUUACCAUAAUUUUUCUUGUAAUACUAACAAUUGGUUAAAGUAUGAGUAAUACUUAAGAGAGUACUCAAGUCAAACGCAUUGAGUUUAGAACUCAAUGAACUAUGUAAGCAAGGUUUCGAGGACGAAACCUUUUUAAGGGGGGUAGACUUGUAACACCCCGAAAAUGGGUUUGGUGAUCAAACCACAUUAGCACUAAAAGACGGGUAAAAUACCGUUAGUGGUAAAACUUACCCGGUAAAUAUUAGGAUUUAAAUAAUUAAUCCUAAUAUUAAAUAAAAAGUGAAUAAAAGCUUUUAAGGAAUAAAAUGGAUAAAAGGCCCGAGUUAACGGGACCUAAAAUAAACUUAGUCAUAAAUAUUCCCGAACCCGCUAAGUUAACUAGGAAUAUUAAACCUAGUUAAUAAGUGGGAAUAUUAUUGAAAAUAAUUAGGUUGUGACCUAAUUAAUAACUAACCAAACACGAGGGACCAAAGCCGGGUAACAUGAAAAUGGAAUUAUAAACUUAAAAAUAAAACACAACACACACACAAGAGUGUGUGUGUGCGUGCGUGAGAUGGAGCAGGAGACAAGCUCCAUGGGAGCUAACCCUAGAAUCAACAAAUUCACCAAAUUGAAGCUCGAAUCAAGAUCCAAAUCAAUGCAUGAACGCGUAGAAACGAUCACCAAGUCAAGGGGAUCGUGAGUUUGACUCUUGACGAGCUAGGUGAAGCAUGGAGGAGAUGAUCAAACGGGAUAAAGGCACGAGUAAGACUUGCUUGGAUGAAAGGUAAGUUAAGCUUACACCCCCUCUUUAAUUAUAAUACACUUACUUGUGAAUUUUGGUUGUGAAUAAUAUUAAGUAAUUGAAUUAUGAUGUUCCGGCAUGAUACAAUGCAAGUCGGAAUAAGUAAAAAGGUAAGAAACCAUAAAUUAUGGUAAAAAGGGGUAAAAUAGUAGAUUAGUCGGGUAAGGACUAAUAAAUAACGAAUUUUGAAAUAAUUCGUUAUGCUGUAAACCGGAAUGGGUAAAAGAGCAAGAUGGUAACUAGAUAUCAUUUCAUAAUGGAAAAUGGUCGUUCGGGCUAAACGGGUCAAAUGACAUUGGUAAAAUCAUUUGACAAUAAUAACUGACGACUACUUGUUGAGUUUUUAUGAUCACAGGAAAUAACAUGUGCGCGCAAUGCUUUAACUAGAAAAAUUUAAGCAAAAAGUAUGUAUACGGGUCAAUCCUAUGACCCGAGCCAGGUACGCAUAUUUAGAAUUAUACUUAAAAGCGAUAUUUUGGUCAAAUAUUAGCGAAAGUCCUUCGUCGUAAAUGAAGGACUAAAAUUGACCAAGAAGCCCUUGACGGGUGAAUUGGGCAAACGACCCAUAUGGGUUGUUUAGGAACUUGUAUAGUAUGGUGGAAUAUAAGUAGUAAACUAAUACGGGAAUGCGAAGGGUGGAAGAAAGGAGCUAGUUUAGACUAAAUAGCUUAAAUACCCUUAACGGGUCAAAAUAAGCAUACGAGCGAAAACAUGUUAAAAUAUAUAAGAAACCCACAAUUAGAACCUAACAUGGUAGAUAAUAUUGAAUUGAAGAGGUUCAUGUGAAAUAAUGAUCAAACAAAUAUGUUUGUUUGAUAAAUGCAUAAACGGGUCAAAAUUUUGUAAAAAGGUAAUAAGCCAAAGGCAUAAAAGUCUCAAAAUUUGUUAAUCCGGAUGUUGGAUUUUAACUCCGGAUGACGAAGGAUCAAAUUACAAUCAUGUAGGAAGAAACGGUAGGUCAAACGGACAAGCGGAUUAAAAGUUAUGAAGGUUUUCGUUUUAGAAAACGGCAAACUUGGAAAAUCCUGCAGAGGCCACCGUAAGUUACGGUAGCUACCGUAACUUACGGUAGCCUUAAAGUCAUUACGCCACACACACACUGUUUUACGGUGGAAAAAUCAACAUUCAGGGGCUACUGUAAAUUACGGUAGCCACCGUAAUUUACGGUAGACCCUGUAACAAAAUGUAUUUUAAUCAGUUUCGCUUUCCGGACUUGUUUAGACAUGUUUUAAACUCCGUAUGACUAAAGCAUUUCAUGUUUAUCAAAUGUAGGUACAUUUUGGAUGCCGAAAGACGAUCAAGCUCAACGAAGAACCGAACACGAUAAAGAUUCAUGCUUCCGCACAUUGCCUCGUCGUAAAUUUAAACGACGAAUCCGAUCACGUUAUGUUGAAUAACUUAUGAUUUCAAAAAGUUUUAAUAAACCCGUAUUU